rnacentral:tRNA from 1 species
GCUCAGUCAGUUAAGUGUCUGACUCUUGAUUUCAGCUCAGGUCAUGAUCUCACAGUUCAUGGGUUCAAGUCCCACACUGGGCU